ACGGGUGAGUAAUGCCUAGGAAUCUGCCUGGUAGUGGGGGACAACGUCUCGAAAGGGACGCUAAUACCGCAUACGUCCUACGGGAGAAAGUGGGGGAUCUUCGGACCUCACGCUAUCAGAUGAGCCUAGGUCGGAUUAGCUAGUUGGUGAGGUAAUGGCUCACCAAGGCGACGAUCCGUAACUGGUCUGAGAGGAUGAUCAGUCACACUGGAACUGAGACACGGUCCAGACUCCUACGGGAGGCAGCAGUGGGGAAUAUUGGACAAUGGGCGAAAGCCUGAUCCAGCCAUGCCGCGUGUGUGAAGAAGGUCUUCGGAUUGUAAAGCACUUUAAGUUGGGAGGAAGGGUUGUAGAUUAAUACUCUGCAAUUUUGACGUUACCGACAGAAUAAGCACCGGCUAACUCUGUGCCAGCAGCCGCGGUAAUACAGAGGGUGCAAGCGUUAAUCGGAAUUACUGGGCGUAAAGCGCGCGUAGGUGGUUCGUUAAGUUGAAUGUGAAAUCCCCGGGCUCAACCUGGGAACUGCAUCCAAAACUGGCAAGCUAGAGUAGGGCAGAGGGUGGUGGAAUUUCCUGUGUAGCGGUG
rnacentral:rRNA from 1 species